rnacentral:rRNA from 1 species
GGACUACUGGGGUUUCUAAUCCUGUUCGCUCCCCUAGCUUUCGCGCCUCAGCGUCAGAUGCCAGCCAGGACACUGCCUUCGCCUUUGGUAUUCCUCCGGAUAUCUACGCAUUUCACCACUCCACCCGGAAUUCUAUGUCCCUCUCUGGCCCUCAAGUCCAGCAGUUUUCAGAGGCCUUCCCCAGUUAAGCCGGGAACUGUCACUCCAAACUUGCUGCACCGCCUGCACGCCCUUUACGCCCAGUAACUCCGGACAACGCUCGCCCCCUACGUAUUACCGCGGCUGCUGGCAC